UACGUAGGAGGCAAACGUUGUCCGGAUUUACUGGGUGUAAAGGGUGCUCAGGCGGUCUUGUAAGUCAGUGGUGAAAUCCCGGAGCUCAACUCCGGAACUGCCUUUGAUACUGCAAGGCUUGAGUAUGGAAGAGGUGGAUGGAAUUUCUGGUGUAGCAGUGAAAUGCGUAGAUAUCAGAAAGAACACCAGUGGCGAAGGCGGUCUACUGGUCCAUUACUGACGCUAAAGCACGAAAGCAUGGGGAGCAAACAGG
rnacentral:rRNA from 1 species